rnacentral:rRNA from 1 species
UCCUCCUAAAGAGUAACGGAGGAGCACGAAGGUUGGCUAAUCCUGGUCGGACAUCAGGAGGUUAGUGCAAUGGCAUAAGCCAGCUUGACUGCGAGCGUGACGGCGCGAGCAGGUGCGAAAGCAGGUCAUAGUGAUCCGGUGGUUCUGAAUGGAAGGGCCAUCGCUCAACGGAUAAAAGGUACUCCGGGGAUAACAGGCUGAUACCGCCCAAGAGUUCAUAUCGACGGCGGUGUUUGGCACCUCGAUGUCGGCUCAUCACAUCCUGGGGCUGAAGUAGGUCCCAAGGGUAUGGCUGUUCGCCAUUUAAAGUGGUACGCGAGCUGGGUUUAGAACGUCGUGAGACAGUUCGGUCCCUAUCUGCCGUGGGCGCUGGAGAACUGAGGGGGGCUGCUCCUAGUACGAGAGGACCGGAGUGGACGCAUCACUGGUGUUCGGGUUGUCAUGCCAAUGGCACUGCCCGGUAGCUAAAUGCGGAAGAGAUAAGUGCUGAAAGCAUCUAAGCACGAAACUUGCC